GACGAACGCUGGCGGCGUGCUUAACACAUGCAAGUCGAGCGGUAAGGCCCUUUCGGGGGUACACGAGCGGCGAACGGGUGAGUAACACGUGGGUGACCUGCCCUCAGCCUCGUGGAUAACGCCGUACGGGAACCGGGUACUAAUACGGAUAUGACUCCAUGACGCAUGUUGUGGGGUGGAAAGCCUUGUGCGGCUGAGGAGUGGGCCCGGCCGGCCUAUCAGCUUGUUGGUGGGGUGAUGGCCUACCAAGGCGACGACGGUAGCCGGCCUGAGAGGGCGGACCGGCCACACUGGGACGUGAGACACGGCCCACGACU
rnacentral:rRNA from 1 species